GUGUGCGAUGAUACCAGCACUAAAUCACCG
rnacentral:rRNA from 1 species